UACGAAGGGUGCUAGCGUUGUUCGGAAUCACUGGGCGUAAAGCGUGCGUAGGCGGCUUGACAAGUCUGAUGUGAAAGCCCGGGGCUUAACCCCGGAACUGCAUUGGAAACUGUCUCGCUGGAGUGUGGAAGGGGAAAGCGGAAUUCCUAGUGUAGAGGUGAAAUUCGUAGAUAUUAGGAGGAACACCAGUGGCGAAGGCGGCUUUCUGGUCCACAACUGACGCUGAGGCACGAAAGCGUGGGGAGCAAACAGG
rnacentral:rRNA from 1 species